ACAGAAGAGGAAGAUCUAGAAAUUUGCAUACCUAGAGGAACUCGCCUUCUUGAUGCCCCUUGCUUACAGAAGGUCGACAUCGACUGAGUACGAGCGGCCGUAGGUCACAAGGGGGCGUGGAACUGCUGCAGCCCAUCUGUGACAGAGCAGACUCCUGCGAAUUUGCCCAGCUAGGUACAUCCUCUACAUGGUAGCAACUUGAAGAAAAUUCUUCCUUUUUGCUUCCAUGACCUGAUAUCCUCCUCGCUGAUGUAUCGAGGAGCCGUGACCCGGCCUCACAGGAAGGGCCAGGGCGAAGACGUAUCCCCGACGGCCAAGACACGUCCACGGUGGUGAUUUUUGAUGGUGAGACAGAGCAGACUCGAGCGACUUUGCCCAGCCAGGAGCACAUAAAAGAUAAUCAGCGUUUAUUCGCUAGCUGGAAUUAAAGGCAACGGCGAGAGAGCAAGAUCAAGGACAACUUCAAAAUUUAAGAAUAUAUGCAAGAAAUGGACGUGAAGCAACAUUUAUAACCAAUCUCCGGACAGUAUUAUACCUGAUUCCGUCGAGUAGACGUUAUCAACAAUUUCAGCUACGGGUCUCGCAACUAAACGAAAACAUGGUAGGUUGCAUCAUACCUGU